GGAUCCCCGAGUUCUAGACAGCAUGAUGCCUUUUAUGGUGAAUUAUUAUGGAAACCCUCACUCCAGGACUCAUGCCUAUGGAUGGGAGAGUGAAAAGGCAAUGGAGAAAGGUCGACAGGUAAUCUCUAUACGUCUGAUAUUUUAAUAUUUUAGAGAAUUCUACACUAUGGUAUACAAAGUCUAAUGUUUGGAAUGUCCUUUGAUCCAUACAAGUCAACAACUGCCUUAUAAUGCCCAGCUUUUAGAAGAAGCCAGUUGUCCCCAAAUGCCCAGCCUUCACCAGUAUUCAACCAUUGAUACAAAAUUGUCAUCAAAUGACCUGACAAAAUGUUGCCUUGGUUACCCACAUUUUUUUUAAAUUUAUUUUUUUUAAUGCAUUUCUCAUGAUGCUCAGCUGGCCAAAAAGCUCUCUCUUUAUAUGGUGAAUUGUUUCUCCUUUAAUAAAAUGUAUUGUUUCUUUACCUUCUUUCUGUUUGUAUUGUAUUGUAGUCUAUGUUUAGACUAUUCUAUAUGUUCUGCCAGCUGUUCAUGUGUUCAGAUACUUAAUAAACACACUAAAAAUGUCGCACCUUCUCUUCUACAGCAAGUUGCCUCUCUGAUUGGAGCAGAUUCUCGUGAAAUCAUUUUCACAAGUGGUGCAACAGAGUCAAAUAAUAUUGCAUUGAAGGUAA